rnacentral:rRNA from 1 species
AGCGAACGCUGGCGGCAGGCUUAACACAUGCAAGUCGAGCGGGCACUUUCGGGUGUCAGCGGCGGACGGGUGAGUAACGCGUGGGAACGUGCCCUCUGGUUCGGAAUAACUCAGGGAAACUUGAGCUAAUACCGGAUACGCCCUUUUGGGGAAAGGCUUGCUGCCGGAGGAUCGGCCCGCGUCUGAUUAGCUAGUUAGUGAGGUAACGGCUCACCAAGGCGACGAUCAGUAGCUGGUCUGAGAGGAUGAUCAGCCACACUGGGACUGAGACACGGCCCAGACUCCUACGGGAGGCAGCAGUGGGGAAUAUUGGACAAUGGGCGCAAGCCUGAUCCAGCCAUGCCGCGUGAGUGAUGAAGGCCUUAGGGUUGUAAAGCUCUUUUAUCCGGGACGAUAAUGACGGUACCGGAGGAAUAAGCCCCGGCUAACUUCGUG